rnacentral:rRNA from 1 species
GAGUGGCGAACGGGUGAGUAAUAUAUCGGAACGUGCCCAGUCGUGGGGGAUAACGCAGCGAAAGCUGUGCUAAUACCGCAUACGAUCUCUGGAUGAAAGCGGGGGACCUUCGGGCCUCGCGCGAUUGGAGCGGCCGAUAUCAGAUUAGCUAGUUGGUGGGGUAAAAGCUCACCAAGGCGACGAUCUGUAGCUGGUCUGAGAGGACGACCAGCCACACUGGAACUGAGACACGGUCCAGACUCC